GUAUUCAAAUAUGCAGAGUCAUUAGCAAAAUUUUGAAAUGUAUUGAAAUUCGAAGAUUUAAGGAAUCUGAGUGACAGAUUGUUGCGACCUUCCAGACAUCCCAGGGCUCGAAGGAUAGAUACCUAUGAAGUACAGAAAUUUCAUGAUGCUCGUCAAUUGAGACUAUCAGACUUUUCGGGGUGUAAGAACUUGCAAUAUUUGGUCGAACAAGAUUGUGAAAAACUAACUGAGCCUUGUGGGCUUGGCGACUUGGAGCUUCUACAAACUUUAGACAUUUCCUGAUACAAGGUGCUAAAAGUAAAUACCUGAAUUGUCCGGAGCUUUCCUCAUGCAGAAUUAUGAGCGGUUGUUACAUCAGGGUGUUCGUGAGAUCACAUUCUGGUGAUAGUUUGAUAUUAAGACAAUCCAUGUCGGUUAACACGGCGAAAUAUUAGUCUUGAUAAUGGCAGGAAUAAAGCAGGCAUUCCCAGCAAAUCAUCUGGCAAAAUCUUAUUCUUGAUAAUGGCAGGAAUGAAGCAGGCAUUCCCAGCAAAUCAUCUGUGAGUGAUUCUUCUUCAUACAUUACCGAGUGAUUCAUGAUUCUUAGUUGGAAUCAAAUUCUUCAUCUUGAUCAUGGUAGGAAUGUAAUUGGCAGCUCUUGUUGGAGGACUAGAUCAUAAGAGUGCCUUUUGAGAAAAUAAUCUGUCAUUUGUCAUCCACUAUGAUUCUUCAUCUUGACAUGUUAUUGAGAACCAGACUAUUAGAUUGAUGAUUUUUUGUGAGUUCUGUAUUUGAAGGUCAUCGUGCUUGCUAGCAUGUCAUGUCUAACUUGUUCGUUUGAUGACAAGUUAUACUUUUAAUCUUCUGAUUGAUUUUUCUUAAUGCCAGACAUAGUGGUUUAUCCGUAAUGUAGAUACGGUGGAAAUUACAAGACGUUGAAAGAACGAGCAACUAUUUAAGAAAAUCCCUUUGACCAUACUCAUCUCAGUUUCUUAAGGUGGACGAUUGAAAUGCACAAAAUAGUAAUGACGUGAAUUUGCUUGCUUUUCCUGAUUGCUGGAAAUGGUUUUUUAUCGUUCUGCAAUAUUUCAGCCGUAGUUCUCUCUUUUUUGUCUGUUUCCAUGUGACUUCUGGAGGCAAAGUACAAAGACACAGGCAAGGGAGAGAUAUCACACCGCUGGAUUAGUGGCGCUCUCGAUCCCCAGAAUUCAUCAGAGCUCUUUCAAGCUAAUUUCAUGGGCUGUGAAUUUGAUAUGCUGCAAGUUUGCUAGAGUGAGUUCAUAUUAUCAGUGUCAUUUUGAAUUCUUGAUCAACUGUUUAUGUGUUGAGUUUGAUCAUAACAAGGUCACACCCUUUAUCCUGUCACCACAUGAUUUACUCUUCCAUUCAUUAGUCAUUUUAAUGCUGGGAUUUUUUCACUAUGCCAACGAGGAUUUUGUUAUAGGGAUCGCUUUUGUCUCCUGCUGCUUUCUAACUUGUUAAUGAUCUUGGUCAUCAUGGUAUAUGAACUGCAAAUAGACGGGGAUUUUAGAAUUUCAGAGGAGAACUAUAUAUGUAUUCCGAAGAAACUUAUGAGCUAUUACAACUUCAUUCACUUUGUGAUGAGUAGCAAUAUCUCACAAUCUAUAUCAAUAGUCCAUCUAUAUAUCUACUAGAAGUAAUGAGCCUCAUGUAUUAUGAACUGACAUAAUAAGCUAAGAUUGUGACAACAGACAUAAACAGGACAAGCAGUGUGACACCCAGAGAUGAAGCAUCACUUCCAGGUGGCGGUGGAGGUAGCGAUGGUGGUCCCACUGGACUGAAGAUCAGGCUGGUGGAAGUUUCACUGACAGUGGCCACUAAUUUUUGGCCCUUAGAGCAAUGGUCACCAUUAGCAAAGGUGUAGACAAAGCAAUACCCGCCGGCAUUGUUGAGGGAAAAGGUGGCUGGUCAUUGAUUAGGGUGAUGGCCGGAUAAACGGUGUUGCAGUUAUUGUCACCUUUGGACACGUUUUCGAUGUUGUGUGACCUUGGGUUGAAGCUGAACAGUGCAAAAAUAAUGGAAGAUCAUCCGCAUUAUAGAGUGAAGCUCACGAUUGAUGUUUUUGCCACUGAACUCAAAAGAUUGAUUGCACAUAUAAGUAAUGGAGAAUGGACUUGUCGGAGCGAA